rfam:Salmo salar isolate Sally breed double haploid chromosome ssa20, whole genome shotgun sequence.
UGCAUUCACUACUGUAAGUCGCUCUGGAUAAGAGCGUCUGCUAAAUGUUUAAAA